ACACGACUACAUUAGAUACCCCCGUAGUCCUAGCCGUAAACGAUACUCGCUAGGUGUCGGCCACGGUGCGACCGUUGUCGGUGCCGUAGGGAAGCCGUGAAGCGAGCCACCUGGGAAAGUACGGCCGCAAGGCUGAAACUUAAAGGAAUUGGCCGGGGGAGCACCACAACGGGUGGAGCUUGCGGUUUAAUUGGAUUCAACGCCGGAAAUCUUACCGGGACCGACAGCAACAUGAAGGCCAGGCUGAAGACUUUGCCGGAUUAGCUG
rnacentral:rRNA from 1 species